rnacentral:lncRNA from 1 species
AGUCCCGGCUAGGGACACAGCUCUUAGACUUUGAGCUAGACAACCAGGAGGACAGGAGGACCUAGUAUCCUGCCUCCAUCAGCCCAUCAUUUAUGCAAAUGCUACUUAGUUGCCGUCUAGAUGCAGGAUGCUGUCUGCCCUGUUAAAUGCUGUGUGAACCCAGAUGGAAGCUGAGCAGACAUCACACUCGUGAGCAGCUCCCCUUCCUGUUUCAGGCUGGCCUUGAACUUACAGGGAUUCACCUGCCUCUGCCUCCCAGAUGCUGAGAUUAAAGGCAUGUGCCAUCACCACCUGAACAACAGCAGCUUUCUAAGGAACCAGUAAGGCACUACAGACUUUUCAUAUAACAUCACCUUCAUUCUCUCACAACUAAUUCUACAAAACAGAUGUUAUACGACCUCGUUCGCUGAAGUCAAAGAUGCAGAGGGGCCAAGGUGUGGGCUCCGGACCUCACACCAGUGUGGCAGAUUCAACAAGCCCAGAAUAAGCCUCUUCCUUUGCUCACAAUAAGAUUUAUUAUAGAAGCAACAACUUCUGCAUACCAGAGGUGAGAGAUGCAGCAAUCCUCUCCGUGCUCAUGAAGCUUAAAAUUUGGGGGAGAAAGUAGAGAAAAAUUAAGCCAACUGCCUCUUCAUUCCUCAGUCACACUCCUCCUCUGACCCUGCUCCAGGAGGCUCAUCUUGUCAGACUUCACACUGAAUGAGCGCUGAGGAUGCUGUAGAGUAUGAGCUGUGUGCAGGAUUGCUAUCUUCUGGUCCUGUACUCCUCAAGCUCAAAGGCCAACGUCCUGGCAUUUGUGUGACGGCUUUUGCCCUACCCUGCAGAAUUUGCAAUAGGCAGUCUCUACAUGUACUCAGGGCCCAGUGGGCAUUCAACAUGUUCAUUGAAUGACAA